GACGAACGCUGGCGGCGUGCCUAAUACAUGCAAGUCGAGCGAACAGACGAGGAGCUUGCUCCUCUGACGUUAGCGGCGGACGGGUGAGUAACACGUGGAUAACCUACCUAUAAGACUGGGAUAACUUCGGGAAACCGGAGCUAAUACCGGAUAAUAUAUUGAACCGCAUGGUUCAAUAGUGAAAGACGGUUUUGCUGUCACUUAUAGAUGGAUCCGCGCCGCAUUAGCUAGUUGGUAAGGUAACGGCUUACCAAGGCAACGAUGCGUAGCCGACCUGAGAGGGUGGUCGGCCACAUUGGAGCUGAGACACGGUCCAGACUCCUACGGGGGGCAGCAGUAGGGAAUCUUCCGCAAUGGGCGAAAGCCUGACGGAGCAACGCCGCGUGAGUGAUGAAGGUCUUCGGAUCGUAGAACUCUGUUAUUAGGAGAGAACAAAUGUGUAAGUAACUGUGCACGUCUUGACGGUACCUGAACAAGAAGCCACGGCUAACUACGUG
rnacentral:rRNA from 1 species